AUAAUACUCCCUCUGUACGGAAUUACUUGUCAUCAAAAUGGAUGUGUCUAGACCUAAAAUACAUCUAGAUACAUCCAUUUCAAUGACAAGUAUUUUUGGACGGAGGGAGUAGUAG
rfam:Triticum aestivum genome assembly, contig: Triticum_aestivum_CS42_TGACv1_scaffold_404133_5BL